GUUUUUGUAGUUGAAUUACAACGGUGGUUUUUCGAAUCACAAUUCUUGGUUGAAGUCCGAGCAGAAAUU
rnacentral:tRNA from 1 species